GUUUCAAUAAAAGCAAUGUUCGCACACCAAGCGUAAGACUUGCUGUUGCUUGGAACCUUGGGAUGAGCGGAUGAUUCCGGAGUGCACUCAGAACUGUGAUUAAGGCUCUCCCUAUGAUUGCCCUGUCAGCUUCAUCGGUGUAGCCAUCAGUGCAUGCUUCUUUCGGUUUUCCUGAAUGCGGCCUUUUCCUUCUGCCGUGUACAUAUUUCCAGGGCAGACUCGGAGCGCCCCAAGCUUGGUUACUGGACGGCGGCUUGUUCCGACGGCAUAGGCCCAGAGCUAGCACGCACGCAUAACGUGUCGUCGUUACACGAAAGCGUUGAUGAGGACGUUUUAGGGCUCACGCCUGGCCGGCCGCCGGAGGGGCGGUGAUGGCGGUGGGGUUGGCUAUAGGAUGCAGAUCGGUAGGUGUCGAUACUCGAGGUACAGUGUACCAGUCAAACCAGUACAUACGAGACUCUGACUUGCGGGCUGCAUACGGCGUGGUACCUGUCACGGGGCAUGCCACCGGUUUGACAUGUGUACAGUUGGAAACAAUUGCGGCUAAGGCAACAUGCCAACUACGCACGCUACUUCCUACGGGUUGUUGGUGGUUGCCCGGAGUUCGAGUGCUAGUUGUGAUCUUCGCGUUUGCCUUACAGACAUGGCAGUGUUGAUUAACAGGUGGCAGUCCUGGUGCUCUUAAUUUUAGCGUAACGUGUGAGCCUUAAUAGGUAAGGGGUGACCUGUUGGGUCCGCCUGAUUAUUUUUCUCUGGGGGCCUUGUGUCGGUGGCCCAUUGCUCCCCAUGCCAUCGGGAUCAGGUUUCUUAGUGUGAACAGGCUGAGUGGUCGGAUUGUUCCCUGUUUCAAUGCAGUCCCAAGCUUCUGGGAUCAUCUGGAAAGGGGCGCAGGGAGAGGACACGGAACCAACGUUCCAGUGCUUUACAAUAAACGCUUUUAUCCGCCACGACGGUGGUUCCGUGCCGCUGUGGGAAAAUGCAUGCAAAGCACCCACGUUCAUGUUUUGGAGCCGCAGCAGUUAGCCAAAGCAUCUGGCAUCCACGCCCAGCAGUACGGGGGCGUCUAGGCAUAUGUUUUGUCGGGGUCAGGGGAAGCUUCCAUGCCAAGGAAUAAUUAGGGCUUACAGGCAACCGCACGCUACGCGUAUCUAGGUUUGCCCAGCAUAAAGAGUUCCAAGGAUAGCUGAGUAUCAGGGAGUGUGCACCUUCCCAAUUCAGCUAUUGUACUGUCAGAUAAUUCCAGUGUAACUCUGUACCCGUCUUCCUGGCUCACGCAUGCUCAUUUAUCAUCUCUUCACUAUUUCUUCCUGCUCCUCUCUUCACAUUGCCCUCCUGACGUCUUUACGUGACAUCUUUACCGUUACGCGAACCCAAUGCUUCCUGUGCAAUCCUCGCUACUCCGUCUCACAGUAUUAACAUAUUUUACCUUCGCACUUGCCACCGUACGUACUGACUGCCAAUACUUUCCGAAGUUCCGGGCACCGUAGUGGCACAAGCUGGUAGAAAUUCCGGCCGCGUAGAGAAUUUCCAUUUACGUCUUUCUUUCUCCAUAAAGUUAAUCGGUUGGGGGAGGUAACUUCGAUCAACUUCCCUGAUUUAUAGUUGCGUAUCGCAAUGCCUAACACAGGACGAGCUGCUCGUCCGCUCUUCCUUCUUCCUCAUCUUCCUUGCAUUUUUGCCUAGCUGUGUUGGCCUUCAUUUGAUCUGGCUGGUGGCAUAUCGCUUGGAAGCGAAUCGCC
rnacentral:lncRNA from 1 species